GGAUUGCCCUAGUAACGGCGAGUGAAGCGGCAACAGCUCAAAUUUGAAAUCUGGCUCUUUCAGAGUCCGAGUUGUAAUUUGCAGAGGGCGCUUUGGCGUUGGCAGCGGUCCAAGUUCUUUGGAACAGGACGUCACAGAGGGUGAGAAUCCCGUACGUGGUCGCUAGCCUUCGCCGUGUAAAGCCCCUUCGACGAGUCGAGUUGUUUGGGAAUGCAGCUCUAAAUGGGAGGUAAAUUUCUUCUAAAGCUAAAUACUGGCCAGAGACCGAUAGCGCACAAGUAGAGUGAUCGAAAGAUGAAAAGCACUUUGGAAAGAGAGUCAAAUAGCACGUGAAAUUGUUGAAAGGGAAGCGCUUGCAGCCAGACUUGCCUGUAGUUGCUUAUCCGGACUUUUGUCCGGUGCACUCUUCUGCGGGCAGGCCAGCAUCAGUUUGGGCGGUUGGAUAAAGGUCUCUGUCAUGUACCUCCUUUCGGGGAGGCCUUAUAGGGGAGACGACAUACAACCAGCCUGGACUGAGGUCCGCGCAUCUGCUAGGAUGCUGGCGUAAUGGCUGUAAGCGGCCCGUCUUGAAACACGGACCAAGGAGUCUAACAUCUAUGCGAGUGUUUGGGUGUCAAGCCCAGACGCGUAAUGAAAGUGAACGGAGGUGGGAACCUUUUAGGUGCACCAUCGACCGAUCCUGAUGUCUUCGGAAGGAUUUGAGUAAGAGCAUGGCUGUUGGGACCCGAAAGAUGGUGAACUAUGCUUGAAUAGGGUGAAGCCAGAGGAAACUCUGGUGGAGGCUCGCAGCGGUUCUGACGUGCAAAUCGAUCGUCAAAUUUGGGCAUAGGGGCGAAAGACUAAUCGAACUAUCUAGUAGCUGGUUCCUGCCGAAGUUUCCCUCAGGAUAGCAGUAACGUAUUCAGUUUUAUGAGGUAAAGCGAAUGAUUAGAGGCCUGGGGGUUGAAACAACCUUCACCUAUUCUCAAACUUUAAAUAUGUAAGAAGUCCUUGUUACUUGAUUGAACGUGGACACUUGAAUGUACCGUUACUAGUGGGCCAUUUUUGGUAAGCAGAACUGGCGAUGCGGGAUGAACCGAACGCGGGGUUAAGGUGCCAGAAUAUACGCUCAUCAGACACCACAAAAGGUGUUAGUUCAUCUAGACAGCAGGACGGUGGCCAUGGAAGUCGGAAUCCGCUAAGGAGUGUGUAACAACUCACCUGCCGAAUGAACUAGCCCUGAAAAUGGAUGGCGCUCAAGCGUAUUACCCAUACCCCGCCGCCGGGGCAGAAUUUAUGCCCCGGCG
rnacentral:rRNA from 1 species